UCUCUCUCCUUAUCCGUUCACAAGCACACCUAGCCAUCGAAGCCGCCGCAUGCCACGACGCAAAUCACCGCCGCUAGCCUGAGGGCCUCAUGCCGCCGCCGCUCGCCCUUUCUCUGUAGGUUGCCGACGCAUCCUUGGGGCCCGGGGCCGUUCCCACCUCCCCACCAGGCUCGAGGAGGCCCGAGGAGGCGGCCAUCAGGAGCGCGCAGCGGAGUCAUGGGCAGAUCCAGCCGGGGCCGUCGGCAGCCGUCCCUCCCUCCGAGCGGCCAAGAGGCUUGAGCAGAACGAGCGCAUGGACCGUGCGCACCUCACGCGCUAGGAGCCACCGGUCCUCGUCAUCUGCAAGCAUCCACGAGGAAUCGAUCCAUAUAAUGUUUGAGGGGAGCUCGGUUACUGUCAACGCCUCAAGGGUUUAUGCAUAUCAGUUGCAUGUUGCUUAAAGUCACUGUAAUGAUGACUACUGUUUCCAGAUUCAAAAGAAGGAUAAUUAAGUUGCAGCUAAAUUCUCGGAUGGAUGAAGAAGCAAAUAAAGUUAGAAGAUUUUACUUAGCACAAGAUCUUUACAUUGACAGAUUGAAAAAUUGUAAUACUAUUCACAAGAUCUUUUUCUUUGGUUGAAUUGAUGUAAAUGCUAUGGUGUAAUAUUCUUCAUAGAUGUGUUCUCUGUAGUCAAAGUGAUAUGAAUGAUAUGUUUGCACCAAUAAGAUUGGUAUGUAUUUAUUGUAAUACAUAUGUAUCCCGCACUCUUGUAUAUUCAUAAUAAAUACCUUGAUAUUUUCAA